rnacentral:misc_RNA from 1 species
AAUUCUCAACCUUGCUCGCUUGAGUUUGGCUUGGAUGUGAGGGCUUUGCUGGCUUCCUUCAGUGGAUGGUCUGCUCCCUUUAAAUGCAUUAGUGGGAUCUCUUGUGGACCGUCACUUGGUGUGAUAAUUAUCUAUGCCUUGGGACUUUGAAGCAAACUAAUGGGAACCUGCUUAUAACCGUCUUCGGACAAUCUCUGACA